GUGAAUCAUCGAAUCUUUGAACGCAAAUUGCACUUCCUGGCACCCCGGGGAGUAUGCCUGUUUGAGGGUCAGUUUAAUAAAAAUCGGAGUGUUGUUCUUGUGACGACGCUUCGGAGUUUGGGUCAUCUUAACUUGUUCAGGUUAAGAGGCUUAAAAUUGAUCUUUUUUGCGCGCCUUUAGACGUACAUAAUUUUUUUUAUUCGUCUAUUCUGGUGCCCAAAUAUUUUAUUAGGUGCGAUCAUAUCGUGUGAUCUCGUGCCUAUAAUUAUCUCAUCUUUUGACCUCAAAUCAGGUAGGGACA
rnacentral:misc_RNA from 1 species